GGAAGCCUGACGCAGGUGCAGAUGCGGAUACGGAAGCAGGACGCCAGGUGGAGAGACAGGAUGGAGAGAGACACGUACAACGCCCGCUAAACACACAGGGAAGGAGAGACGCGGAUUGCGGCCGGAGGCACAGGGGAUCGAAAGGACAGGACGCGUGCACAACGCUCGCUAUAUGGUUAAGUAAAAAGGACGUGUCCCAGACUGCUUGUGUGUGUGUGUGUGCGCGCACCUUUUUGAGAUUGUGUGUGGCCCUUAGCCCCUCCCUCUGAUCUGUACAGGUGGCUGAGCGUGGAGGUAUGGAGGAGGAGAGAUGCGGACCGCGGCCGGAGAUGUAGGAGACGGCGAGGACGAGUUGCAUGGGCAGCGCCUGUGAAGAAUAGUGGUCUGACCUGAGCCCCGGGACCACUCGGACGUUGCGGAGUAUUGUCAAAAAAAAAAAGGAGAGAUAAACCGCCCAGCUUUAUGCAGAGUCUUGUUUUUUUUUUCUAAAAAAAAAAAAAAAAUCUUUGUGAUUUUAUUCUUUUUGACUGAGGCUUUGUUUUUUUUCCUUUAUUUAUUUUUAUUAUCUUUUACCGGUUACGGACAUUUUAUAUUGACUUUUUGUAGUUUUAGCUACUUAUUUAUUUUAAUUGUGAAUAAACUGUUUUCAAUUUUGCCAA